CCGUAUCGUGAACCAGCGUAGGGAUCAUUA
rnacentral:rRNA from 1 species